UGCAGCCUACGGGGCGCAGCAGUGAGGAAUAUUGGUCAAUGGGCGGGAGCCUGAACCAGCCAAGCCGCGUGAGGGAAGAAGGUACAGCGUAUCGUAAACCUCUUUUGUCAGGGAACAAAGGCGGGGACUAGUCCCCGGAUGAGGGUACCUGAAGAAAAAGCAUCGGCUAACUCCGUGCCAGCAGCCGCGGUAAUACGGAGGAUCCGAGCGUUAUCCGGAUUUAUUGGGCGUAAAGGGAACGCAGGCGGUCUUUUAAGUCUGAUGUGAAAGCCUUCGGCUUAACCGGAGUAGUGCAUUGGAAACUU
rnacentral:rRNA from 1 species